AAGAUGGCUUUGGAAAAGAUUGACCUUUUUGUAUCUCCCUAGGAAAAUUCAAGGAGAGAGACUCAAUGCAUCUUCAGCAGGAGCCCUUCAGAUGACUGUGCCACCAAAGCUGCGAUUACCCCGAGAGGACAGCUCCAGCUUUGCCCCCGGCCCUCCAGGAGAAACCCCAUGUCCUCCAGCCGCCAAGAUAUCCG
rnacentral:lncRNA from 1 species